rnacentral:rRNA from 1 species
UACGUAGGGUGCAAGCGUUAAUCGGAAUUACUGGGGCGUAAAGCGUGCGCAGGCGGUUGUGCAAGACAGAUGUGAAAUCCCCGGGCUCAACCCGGGAACUGCGUCCGAUACUGGAAGGCUUGAAUCCGGGAGAGGAUGCGGAAUUCCAGGUGUAGCGGUGAAAUGCGUAGAUAUCUGGAGGAACACCGGUGGCGAAGGCGGCAUCCUGGACCGGCAUUGACGCUGAGGCGCGAAAGCCAGGGGAGCCAAAGCGGG